rnacentral:rRNA from 1 species
UUGACCUCGGAUCAGGUAGGGAUACCCGCUGAACUUAAGCAUAUCAAUAAGCGGAGGAAAAGAAACCAACAGGGAUUGCCUCAGUAACGGCGAGUGAAGCGGCAACAGCUCAAAUUUGAAAUCUGACCCCUUCGGGGCCCGAGUUGUAAUUUGUAGAGGGUGUUUCGGGCCGCGGCGCCCGGUCUAAGUUCCUUG